GACGAACGCUGGCGGCGUGCCUAAUACAUGCAAGUAGAACGCUGAAGGAGGAGCUUGCUUCUCUGGAUGAGUUGCGAACGGGUGAGUAACGCGUAGGUAACCUGCCUGGUAGCGGGGGAUAACUAUUGGAAACGAUAGCUAAUACCGCAUAAGAGUAGAUGUUGCAUGACAUUUGCUUAAAAGGUGCAAUUGCAUCACUACCAGAUGGACCUGCGUUGUAUUAGCUAGUUGGUGGGGUAACGGCUCACCAAGGCGACGAUACAUAGCCGACCUGAGAGGGUGAUCGGCCACACUGGGACUGAGACACGGCCCAGACUCCUACGGGAGGCAGCAGUAGGGAAUCUUCGGCAAUAGACGGAAGUCUGACCGAGCAACGCCGCGUGAGUGAAGAAGGUUGUCGGAUCGUAAAGCUCGGUUGUAAGAGAAGAACGAGUGUGAGAGUGGAAAGUUCACACUGUGACGGUAGCUUACCAGAAAGGGACGGCUAACUACGUG
rnacentral:rRNA from 1 species